rnacentral:rRNA from 1 species
AUUGAACGCUGGCGGCAUGCCCUACACAUGCAAGUCGAACGGCAGCACGGGUGCUUGCACCUGGUGGCGAGUGGCGAACGGGUGAGUAAUACAUCGGAACAUGUCCUGUAGUGGGGGAUAGCCCGGCGAAAGCCGGAUUAAUACCGCAUACGAUCUACGGAUGAAAGCGGGGGACCUUCGGGCCUCGCGCUAUAGGGUUGGCCGAUAGCUGAUUAGCUAGUUGGUGGGGUAAAGGCCUACCAAGGCGACGAUCAGUAGCUGGUCUGAGAGGACGACCAGCCACACUGGAACUGAGACACGGCCCAGACUCCUACGGGAGGCAGCAGUGGGGAAUUUUGGACAAUGGGCGAAAGCCUGAUCCAGCAAUGCCGCGUGUGUGAAGAAGGCCUUCGGGUUGUAAAGCACUUUUGUCCGGAAAGAAAUCCUUGGCUCUAAUACAGUCGGGGGAUGACGGUACCGGAAGAAUAAGCACCGGCUAACUACGUG